GAUGAAGAACGUAGCGAAAUGCGAUAAGUAGUGUGAAUUGCAGAAUUCAGUGAAUCAUCGAAUCUUUGAACGCACAUUGCGCCCUGUGGUAUUCCGCAGGGCAUGCCUGUUCGAGCGUCAUUGACACCCUCAAGCUCUGCUUGGUCUCGGGCGUUUGUGCCUGCCGUUGCGCAGGGACUCGCCUCAAACUCAUUGGCAGCCUGCCUUUGCCGGUCUUUGCACAGCACAGUCGUGCCAAAGCCGCGGUGAGCAGGCGCUCCACAAGCCCUUUUCAGCUUGACCUCGGAUCAGGUAGGAAUACCCGCUGAACUUAAGCAUAUCAAUAAGCGGAGGA
rnacentral:misc_RNA from 1 species